rnacentral:rRNA from 1 species
AAGUGCGGGUGCUAUAAUGCAAGUCGAGCGGACAGAUGGGAGCUUGCUCCCUGAUGUUAGCGGCGGACGGGUGAGUAACACGUGGGUAACCUGCCUGUAAGACUGGGAUAACUCCGGGAAACCGGGGCUAAUACCGGAUGGUUGUUUGAACCGCAUGGUUCAAACAUAAAAGGUGGCUUCGGCUACCACUUACAGAUGGACCCGCGGCGCAUUAGCUAGUUGGUGAGGUAACGGCUCACCAAGGCAACGAUGCGUAGCCGACCUGAGAGGGUGAUCGGCCACACUGGGACUGAGACACGGCCCAGACUCCUACGGGAGGCAGCAGUAGGGAAUCUUCCGCAAUGGACGAAAGUCUGACGGAGCAACGCCGCGUGAGUGAUGAAGGUUUUCGGAUCGUAAAGCUCUGUUGUUAGGGAAGAACAAGUACCGUUCGAAUAGGGCGGUACCUUGACGGUACCUAACCAGAAAGCCACGGCUAACUACGUGCCAGCAGCCGCGGUAAUACGUAGGUGGCAAGCGUUGUCCGGGAAUUAUUGGGCGUAAAGGGCUCGCAGGCGGUUUCUUAAGUCUGAUGUGAAAGCCCCCGGCUCAACCGGGGAGGGUCAUUGGAAACUGGGGAACUUGAGUGCAGAAGAGGAGAGUGGAAUUCCACGUGUAGCGGUGAAAUGCGUAGAGAUGUGGAGGAACACCAGUGGCGAAGGCGACUCUCUGGUCUGUAACUGACGCUGAGGAGCGAAAGCGUGGGGAGCGAACAGGAUUAGAUACCCUGGUAGUCCACGCCGUAAACGAUGAGUGCUAAGUGUUAGGGGGUUUCCGCCCCUUAGUGCUGCAGCUAACGCAUUAAGCACUCCGCCUGGGGAGUACGGUCGCAAGACUGAAACUCAAAGGAAUUGACGGGGGCCCGCACAAGCGGUGGAGCAUGUGGUUUAAUUUCGAAGCAACGCGAAGAACCUUACCAGGUCUUGACAUCCUCUGACAAUCCUAGAGAUAGGACGUCCCCUUCGGGGGCAGAGUGACAGGUGGUGCAUGGUUGUCGUCAGCUCGUGUCGUGAGAUGUUGGGUUAAGUCCCGCAACGAGCGCAACCCUUGAUCUUAGUUGCCAGCAUUCAGUUGGGCACUCUAAGGUGACUGCCGGUGACAAACCGGAGGAAGGUGGGGAUGACGUCAAAUCAUCAUGCCCCUUAUGACCUGGGCUACACACGUGCUACAAUGGACAGAACAAAGGGCAGCGAAACCGCGAGGUUAAGCCAAUCCCACAAAUCUGUUCUCAGUUCGGAUCGCAGUCUGCAACUCGACUGCGUGAAGCUGGAAUCGCUAGUAAUCGCGGAUCAGCAUGCCGCGGUGAAUACGUUCCCGGGCCUUGUACACACCGCCCGUCACACCACGAGAGUUUGUAACACCCGAAGUCGGUGAGGUAACCUUUUAGGAGCCAGCCGCCGAAGUGGACAGAAAA